UACGAAGGGUGCAAGCGUUAAUCGGAAUUACUGGGCGUAAAGCGCGCGUAGGUGGUUCGUUAAGUUGGAUGUGAAAGCCCCGGGCUCAACCUGGGAACUGCAUCCAAAACUGGCGAGCUAGAGUAUUGGAGAGGCAAGUGGAAUUCCUAGUGUAGCGGUGAAAUGCGUAGAUAUAGGAAGGAACACCAGUGGCGAAGGCGACCACCUGGGCUAAUACUGACACUGAGGUGCGAAAGCGUGGGGAGCAAAC
rnacentral:rRNA from 1 species